CAUUCAAGAGCCAGAGCGAUCAAUCAAGCACACGCAAACCUUCUUCGCCAUUGCAGCAAUCCCAUACAAGCCCAACAGCCAGACCAUACUUUCCGUCCCAACAAACCCAAGACCAAGCCCCACCGCGAACGACUUCACAGAGACACCACAAAGCUUCGCAGGCCCAUCCCUUUCGUCUCCGAUGUCAAAGAAGUUGAAGACCCAGAAGAAGCCUUGUCUCUCUUCUACGAGUACCACCAAAUGGGCUUCAAGCACGACUACCCUUCUUACUCUGCUCUUCUCUACAAGCUCGCUCGUUCUCGAAACUUUGAAGCCGUCGAGACCAUUCUCGGCCAUGUACGAGAUCGAAACAUUCAUUGCAAAGAUACACUUUUCAUUGCUCUGAUUCAACAUUAUGGGAAGGCCAAUUUGGUAGAGAAAGCCAUUGAGCUUUUUAACCAGAUGCCUUCUUUUAAUUGUGUCCGUACAUUGCAGGCCUUCAAUGCCCUCCUUAAUGUGCUUGUUGAUAGCGGUAGGUUUGUGGAAGCGGAUGAGAUUUUUGGUCGGUGUUCUAAAAUGGGUUUUCGGCCGAAUUCGAUUUCGUAUAAUAUUAUGAUGAAGGGGUGGCUUCAAAAGGGUGACGGGGAAGAAGCUUGCAAGGUUUUUGAUGAAAUGCUUGAGAAAAAAGUGCAACCUAGUGUUGUGACGUAUAAUAGUCUUAUAGGGUUUUUUGGUAGGAAGGGUGAGUUGGAGAAAGCUAAUGGUUUGCUUGAGGACAUGAAACAGAAAGGGAAGUACCCAAAUGCUGUAACAUACGCAUUGUUGAUGAAAGGUUUCUGCAUGCUAGGAAAGCAUGACGAAGCAAAGAAGAUGAUGUUUGAUAUGGAGUAUCGGGGUUGUAAACCACGGCUUCUGAAUUAUGGUGUUUUGAUAAGUGAUCUUGGAAGGAGAGGAAAGAUUGAUGAGGCAAAAUCUUUACUUCAAGAGAUGAAGAAAAGGCUGUUUAAGCCAGAUGUAGUGCUGUAUAACAUAUUGAUUAACUUUCUGUGCAAGGAAGGUAGGGCUGCAGAGGCUUAUAAAGUCUUGAUUGAAAUGCAAGUUGGAGGCUGUGUGCCUAAUGCAGCUACAUACAGGAUGAUGGUUGACGGGUUUUGUCAGAUUGAAGAUUUUGAGGGAGGUUUAAAGGUUUUGAUUGCAAUGUUGACAAGUAGACAUUGUCCUCGUUUAGAAACAUUUGAAUGUUUGGUUACAGGUCUAGUAAAGUGUGGGAAAAUUGAUGAUGCUUGUGUUGUCUUGGAGGAGAUGGAAAAGAGAAAUAUGCAAUUUUGUUUUGAAGCUUGGGAAGCUCUAGUUGUGGAUGCUUGUGGUGAGAAUGUUGUUGCAGGGGAGGUUGUGACUGAACUAAUCUCUGUCCAUUAAUGGUCAUCAAGGAAGAAAUGAACACAUGCCAUUUUGGCGUGACUUCUGUAGCUCUUUCAAGCCCCCCAUCCCGCACGGAGACAACGCAAUAAAGAUUGGUGGCAAGCCCCUUGUCCCACAUUUUUAAUGGGUGCUUUUAGCAAUUAUUGAGCUUUACCAUCCUGGAGAGUCGUGCUAAUAUCGUAUGAUAGUUUAGUUCAAUGGAAAAAGAAAAAAGAAAAACUUUAUCCACAAGAGAAUCAUAGUGCUGCUUGACCCAUGGCUUGGAGCAAGAAGAAAUGUGCUCGUUUGGCUGAUGGGAAGGAUAAAUUUUUUUUCUAAGGUAUUGGAACCUCUAGUCUGUGAUGCUUGUAAAACAGAACUAAGCUAUGCCCACUGGUAGGCUUCACCAGAAAGAGGAAACUUUGUUUAAGAAUUGAAACAUUUCAUCAAUAUAAUGGGUGGUUGAUGCCAAAUGUAGGUUUAAGAAAGCUCACUAUGCUUGCGGUUGUUCAAAUAAAAGUUAGAUAAGCAUGUAAGCUGAGCUAAAUCUAUGACCACUGCAGUAUUCAGGGAAGAGAGGAAGUUUUGUUCAAGAAUCGAACUGUUGAUGCGAGCGAAGUCUUGUUUCUGGGGAAGCUCUAGUUAGGAAUGCUCCUUGUGCAAAUAGAGGUUUGACAGGCAUGUAAAAUUGAAGUUAUCUUUACCCACUUAUGGGCUUCGGGGAAGAGAGGAAGCUUUAUAAAAGUUUGUCAAUAUUUUGG
rnacentral:lncRNA from 1 species